ensembl:misc_RNA Metazoa_SRP Metazoan signal recognition particle RNA
GCUGGGUAUGAUGGCUCAUGCCUGUAAUCCUAGCACUUUGGGAGGCUGAGGUGGGUGGAUCACUUGAGGUCAGGAGUUCCAGACCAGCCUGGCCAACAUGGUGAAAUCCCAUCUCUU